GAUUUACUAAUAUGCUUAAAGCAGAAAAAAUCCACCAGUACUCACAACCAGAGGACAAAAAUCUCUCUCCUCUUCGAGACAGGAGAAUACUCAACCCAGGCCCACUGCAGCAUCCUUUCCCAGCAAGCAUCCUCUUUAAGAAAGACUAUUUGUGAAGCCAGGGUCAAAGGUCUUUAUUCUAAGUUCAACUCUCAGCUGGAGAACCGAGAUCCCACUUCUCUGGGCUACGCCAAGGCAGCAGAAGAACAAGAUGGACCGACCAUCAACAAGAGUACUGUUUAAUAUAUAUUCAAAAGAGAUCGAGAAUGAAUGAGCAGAAGACUCCCAUCAGCUGUUCCAAUGGAAAAUCACGACCUCUCAGUUUCCAGACUUAUACUAGCUCUAAGACCUUGAACAUAUCAACUAAAGGAGAAACAAGAUCUUCAUGAGGAAGGAUCCUGAAACACCACAUGUAUUAGUCUGUUUUCACACUGCUGAUAAAGACAUACCAGGGCUGGGAAGAAAAAGAGGUUUUAAUGGAUUCAGAGUUCCACAUGGCUGGGGAGGCCUCACAAUCAUGGCAGA
rnacentral:lncRNA from 1 species